UGGGGAAUUUUGGACAAUGGGGGCAACCCUGAUCCAGCAAUGCCGCGUGUGUGAAGAAGGCCUUCGGGUUGUAAAGCACUUUUGUCCGGAAAGAAAACGCCGUGGUUAAUACCCGUGGCGGAUGACGGUACCGGAAGAAUAAGCACCGGCUAACUACGUGCCAGCAGCCGCGGUAAUACGUAGGGUGCAAGCGUUAAUCGGAAUUACUGGGCGUAAAGCGUGCGCAGGCGGUCCGCUAAGACAGAUGUGAAAUCCCCGGGCUUAACCUGGGAACUGCAUUUGUGACUGGCGGGCUAGAGUAUGGCAGAGGGGGGUUAGAAUUCCACGUGUAGCANUGAAAUGCGUAGAGAUGUGGAGGAAUACCGAUGGCGAAGGCAGCCCCCUGGGCCAAUACUGACGCUCAUGCACGAAAGCGUGGGGGAGCAAACAGGAUUAGAUACCCGUGGUAGUCCACGCCCUAAACGAUGUCAACUAGUUGUCGGGCUCUUCAUUGACUUGGUAACGUAGCUAACGCGUGAAGUUGACCGCCUGGGGAGUACGGUCGCAAGAUUAAAACUUAAAU
rnacentral:rRNA from 1 species